AACGAACGCUGGCGGCAUGCCUAAUACAUGCAAGUCGAACGAACCGUUCGGGCCUUGUCUCGCAAGGGUGUGUAACGCGAGGGAACCUGCCCUUAGGAUCGGAAUAACUACCCGACAGGGGGGCUAAGACCGGUUAAGGUCUCCGGACCAAAGAUUUAUUGGCUUUGGGUGGUGCCGGGUUGGAUUAGCUAGUGGGUAACGUAACAGCCAACCAAGGGGACGAUCCAUAGCUGGUUUGAGAGGACGAUCAGCCACCCUGGGACUGAGACACGGCCCGGACUCUUACGGGAGGCCGCAGUGGGGAAUAUUGGACAACGGGCGAGUGCAUGAGCCUGCAAUGCCGCGUGAGUGAUGUAGGCCUGAGGGUUGUAAAGCUCUUUUAACCGGGAUGAUAAUGACAGUACCGGAAGAAUAAGCUCCGGCUAACUACGUG
rnacentral:rRNA from 1 species